AUGGGAACGCGAAGAACCUUACCUACUCUUGACAUCCAGAGAACUUAGCAGAGAUGCUUUGGUGCCUUCGGGAACUCUGAGACAGGUGCUGCAUGGCUGUCGUCAGCUCGUGUUGUGAAAUGUUGGGUUAAGUCCCGCAACGAGCGCAACCCUUAUCCUUUGUUGCCAGCGGUUCGGCCGGGAACUCAAAGGAGACUGCCAGUGAUAACUGGAGGAAGGUGGGGAUGACGUCAAGUCAUCAUGGCCCUUACGAGUAGGGCUACACACGUGCUACAAUGGCGCAUACAAAGAGAGGCGACCUCGCGAGAGCAAGCGGACCUCAUAAAGUGCGUCGUAGUCCGGAUUGGAGUCUGCAACUCGACUCCAUGAAGUCGGAAUCGCUAGUAAUCGUAGAUCAGAAUGCUACGGUGAAUA
rnacentral:rRNA from 1 species